UCCCGUUUAGCUCAGCUGGUAGAGCGCGUCACUAGUACCCUCACCUGGUUCAAUGACGAGGUCAGUCGUUCAAGUCGGCUAAUGGGAA